AGCGAGGUGGAGGGAGCGGCGUGGGAACUGGGGGGUCGGCGAGGCGCGCAGGGCUGAGCGGCUCGGGGCUGCUUCUCCGGUCCUAGCCCAUCACUGCUCCGCCUCCUCCUCCUCCAUGGGCCGAAGACCGCCGAGGAUCAGCGCGCUCCGGCUCCGGAGCCCGGAGACCAGGGCUUUUGGAGAAUUUACCUACACUGAGUUAAUUUAUAAGAAAAACAUCCAUAAUCAUAUGGCCCGCAAUUGGAAAUAAUUAAAAAAUAAACC
rnacentral:lncRNA from 1 species